rnacentral:rRNA from 1 species
AUCUUCGGGGGUAGAGCACUGUUUCGGCUAGGGGGUCAUCCCGACUUACCAACCCGAUGCAAACUACGAAUACCGAAGAAUGUUAUCACGGGAGACACACGGCGGGUGCUAACGUCCGUCGUGAAGAGGGAAACAACCCAGACCGCCAGCUAAGGUCCCAAAGUCAUGGUUAAGUGGGAAACGAUGUGGGAAGGCACAGACAGCCAGGAUGUUGGCUUAGAAGCAGCCAUCAUUUAAAGAAAGCGUAAUAGCUCACUGGUCGAGUCGGCCUGCGCGGAAGAUGUAACGGGGCUAAACCAUGCACCGAAGCUGCGGCAGCGACACUAUGUGUUGUUGGGUAGGGGAGCGUUCUGUAAGCCUGCGAAGGUGACCUGUGAGGGUUGCUGGAGGUAUCAGAAGUGCGAAUGCUGACAUAAGUAACGAUAAAGCGGGUGAAAAGCCCGCUCGCCGGAAGACCAAGGGUUCCUGUCCAACGUUAAUCGGGGCAGGGUGAGUCGACCCCUAAGGCGAGGCCGAAAGGCGUAGUCGAUGGGAAACAGGUUAAUAUUCCUGUACUUGGUGUUACUGCGAAGGGGGGACGGAGAAGGCUAUGUUAGCCGGGCGACGGUUGUCCCGGUUUAAGCAUGUAGGCUGAUUGUCCAGGCAAAUCCGGAUAAUCAAGGCUGAGGUGUGAUGACGAGGCACUACGGUGCUGAAGUAACAAAUGCCCUGCUUCCAGGAAAAGCCUCUAAGCAUCAGGUAACAUCAAAUCGUACCCCAAACCGACACAGGUGGUCAGGUAGAGAAUACCAAGGCGCUUGAGAGAACUCGGGUGAAGGAACUAGGCAAAAUGGUGCCGUAACUUCGGGAGAAGGCACGCUGGUGUGUAGGUGAAGUCCCUGCGGAUGGAGCUGAGACCAGUCGAAGAUACCAGCUGGCUGCAACUGUUUAUUAAAAACACAGCACUGUGCAAACACGAAAGUGGACGUAUACGGUGUGACGCCUGCCCGGUGCCGGAAGGUUAAUUGAUGGGGUUAUCCGUAAGGAGAAGCUCUUGAUCGAAGCCCCGGUAAACGGCGGCCGUAACUAUAACGGUCCUAAGGUAGCGAAAUUCCUUGUCGGGUAAGUUCCGACCUGCACGAAUGGCGUAAUGAUGGCCAGGCUGUCUCCACCCGAGACUCAGUGAAAUUGAACUCGCUGUGAAGAUGCAGUGUACCCGCGGCAAGACGGAAAGACCCCGUGAACCUUUACUAUAGCUUGACACUGAACAUUGAGCCUUGAUGUGUAGGAUAGGUGGGAGGCUUUGAAGCGUGGACGCCAGUCUGCGUGGAGCCAACCUUGAAAUACCACCCUUUAAUGUUUGAUGUUCUAACGUUGGCCCCUGACCGGGGUUGCGGACAGUGUCUGGUGGGUAGUUUGACUGGGGCGGUCUCCUCCCAAAGCGUAACGGAGGAGCACGAAGGUUAGCUAAUCCUGGUCGGACAUCAGGAGGUUAGUGCAAUGGCAUAAGCUAGCUUGACUGCGAGCGUGACGGCGCGAGCAGGUGCGAAAGCAGGUCAUAGUGAUCCGGUGGUUCUGAAUGGAAGGGCCAUCGCUCAACGGAUAAAAGGUACUCCGGGGAUAACAGGCUGAUACCGCCCAAGAGUUCAUAUCGACGGCGGUGUUUGGCACCUCGAUGUCGGCUCAUCACAUCCUGGGGCUGAAGUAGGUCCCAAGG